AGUGGAAUGGCUGUGUUCGGUCUUCGGCCAUCCCCGUCUAGGGUUCCACGUGUCUUUCCUUUAGAUGACCACAUGUCAUAUCAUAUUUCACCAUAUAAAGAUAGUCUCACUGCUCUUCGGUGACAUAACUUUGUGUUAUCGGGAAGUUGGUAGAAACACUCUUUUGGCGGGAUUUACUAGAACUCCCUCUGAAAGCUUCUGACGAUUGAUUAGACGCACGUCUCUCCGCAUUUAAUGCCCCGAACACGCGUUAUUCCACGAUUCAGCACAACUUUUGCCGAUUAUCGAGGUAAUCAUGCCAUGAAUUUAGCCGCCAAAUUUUUACUUAUACGCAUCAUUCUUUUCCUUUGCACUUCAUAAUUUCUUGAACUUCUGAUUUGCAUCUUUGUUCUCCAUCCUUUCUAUAAUUCUCUUCAAACAAAAACCUUUUCCUUUUUCUUAUUCAACGGCUUCUUCCUCCAAGCGUGCCUGUUCUUCAAAGAUUAAGAACAAAGUCAAGGACUCUGCUCCUCCAACGGUGGGUUCUAUCAUCCCAAGGAGACUCAGUACCACAAAGGACUUAGAAGAGAUAUUCCCUACUGAUAACCCUCGUACAUGGGCUGUUAGUAGGUACCCUUAUUCCAUUCAUCCUUCCAGUAUUCCUGCUGUGAAGGAAGACUAUCGCUGCCAUGAGUUGGAUAUCAUUGCUCCUGCUCUAUCGGAGAGAGUGACCCUUCCCAAGGAAGGUUUUACAUACUUUUACACGUAUCCCUUUACUUUGGGGGCGUUUUCUUUGAGUGGAGAGCUUGAUUCCGUGAUUGCGGAGUUUUACCUUCGCUACCAGGUGUGUUUGGCACAGGUAAGUCCUUCAGUGUGGAGGACGGUCGCAUGCCUUCGACGGUUGUGCCAGUAGACUGGAGAGGAGCUAACCUUAGCUCAUAUGAUGAGUCUUUAUUCUCCCAAAAUCUUUCGCGGGGGAAUGAUAAACCUUUGCAAGCGUGGCCACCAUGUUUUGCUGUCUACAUGGAUGAUGACAACGACCAUGGGUGGAUGGAACGGUUCAUUGCAGUCGCCACCAAUGACAUCAUUCCGUAAACGGUUUCAUCCUUUCUGGCCGCUUGGAACCGCACUCGUAAGCUCUUUGUUUAGUUUUUCCUUUUACUAAAUACUUUUCUAUAGUCGUAUUGAUCCUCCAUCCUUUGUUUGUUUCAGCAACUCGAUGGAUCCCACUGGUGAUGGAAGGCUUGGACAGGUGGGUUCAAAAGAUCUUGGACGUCACGACGCCCGAAACUCGUUUGUGGAAAGAACUAGCCCUUAAAUAUGGGUGGAAGGCCAAAAAUUAUGGUAAUUUUAACUUACCUUGCUUCCAUGUUUUUUUUGUAUAAGGAGAACUUGGUUGAACCCAUCUGACUUGUUCACAAAAUUAGGUCUACUUGCGGGCUCCAUUGUUGUCCCCGAGGAGGAUGUCUUGGAGGAUCUUGCUGAGAGCUGAUAAGUGGAGAUUUUGACUACUUAUUGUCAUGCCCCGAACUCGGGGGGGCGCGACCGGCGCUUAACCGAGUGAACCCGGCCGAGCAAGCCUGUUAUAUUUCCUUCUACCCAAACUCAUCCAUGAAUAAAGAGGAGAUGCACUUCAUUAAUCAAAUACUGAAAAGAUUUCAUUAACAACUCCCAUUUAAUUUCCAUUAGCAGCUUCCUUCAUAAUUUCCAAAAUAUUACAAGUUUAUAGAUAUAAUGAAAAAUAUGUCUUCCAAAUACCAACACUUCUAGUUCAAUUCCCAACAACAAACACCACCCACAACCUGUCUACGGAGCCUCUAAGUACAAUAGAAGAGUAAGAUGGAAGUGCCGGCAACAAGGCCCCGGCUAUACCUCAAAAUAAAAAGUACAACAUCAAAUGAUAUCAGGCCUAGAAUAGAGUAGGGCUCACCAAAACCUGCUGAAUAGGGAGUAACUGCUAACGAGGACCAAAGUUCCCCGCUGAUGAACCACCUGCAUCCAUUGAAGAUGCAGCACCUCGGCAAAAAAGGACGUUAGUACAUAUGGAAUAGUACUAGUAUGUAAAGCUAACUGUCCUCUUUCAAAAUAGAAUGCCAAUGUAAGAAAGGGAAAAACGUAGAAACAGCAAGUCACAAUCAAUGAUAUCUAAAUGCCAAGUUAAAACAUAAUAAUUUUCAAAAUACGAAGAUAAUAUUAUUUUUGGUUAGGAGAUCUUUAGCACCGAUAUACCACUAUUCACAAUACCACCGUACUUUUAUCACGGAGUCCGAUCACGACCCGACCGGCUAGGCCGUCUCAUCCGAGACAUCAACCAUAGUCACAAUCUUGAUCAUAAUUUCAAUUGCAAUUUCCAGCAUAAUUACCGCCAUGUGUGCCGCAUGGCGUCCGAUCACGACCCCCGAUCGGCUAGGCCAUCUCAUCACAAAGGCGUAUGGAUUGGCAUCAUCCUCUUCUAUCAAUCAUCUCAUCCCAAUUAAGGGGAAUAAUGUUAUCAUAUCAAUCUCAUCCCAAAUAAGGUAAAUGAUCACAAUCCACUCCUACACCGGCACAUGUAGUUUCAGGAUUAGGUUAUUUCAACCUACCCUUCCUCGGUGACUAUCGAUACUCCCAAAAACAUUUUUUAUUUGCAUACAAAGGAAACAGCAAUACAACUGCAUUUACCUCAUAACCUUUCACACCAUUUAUAGCUUCAUUGGCAUUUCCAUCCACUUACAACAUCAUUAUUUCAUUGGCUCUCUUGGCCAUACAUAUGAUUCUUCAUUCAUGGAACAAUGGCUGUAUUUCAUAUUCCACAUUUUUAUUUCUUUCCUUUCAUGGAUCAUCAUCAUAAAUAUCAACAUAUAUAAUAUUCCGAAAAUCACAAUUUUAAGUUCAUUAGAAAUGAAGAAUUUAAGCACAAUAGAUUCCUUUCCAAGAAAUUGAGUAAAAUGAUCGGCAAUCGAUGCGCANNNNNNNNNNNNNNNNNNNNNNNNNGAAGAUCUAUGUAUUUUAUGAAGGAAUUGAUGGAAUGAAACACAAAGUUAGUAGGGAUUACUCACCUUGAAGAUGGGGGCAGUUGGAGGUCUUGAGAGAGUGGAGGAAAACCCCAAAAUUCGGCCAAGAGAAAUGGGGUAAAAUGAACCCUAAAUGAGUAUAUAGUGUUUGGGGCACCACAUAUAGCGUGGGGAUCUGCCUGUGGCGCUGGUUCCAGAACCUCAAGAUUCCCAGCACCAGGGAUAGCGCCCCACGCUACCCUGGGCACUGGCGAUGGGAAAUCAUUUCUAUUUCUCCCGAAAAUUGGCAUAACUCUCUCAUACGAUGUCCGAAUUUGACGAUUCUUUUUGUUAUGGCUCCGUAAUUUCCAUACGGAUCUAAUGCUUUAAUCAAAACUGAAUUUGGAGCUCAUUUGCUUAAUGUGAUACCACUUAUGCUUGAAGAAACGACGACGAAACAUCCUAGAAAUAUCCAAAUUAAAUUACGGACAUAUGCCCGAGUACAAAAUCAUCAUCCGGACCUAACGGAAUUGUCAAACCUCUGAUCCAAGGUCGAAUACAAAAAAAUUAAACUUGAUCAUAAUACAUCAUUUGAAGCUACUUAAUACUUCAAAUAGUUGAGAGGAGAGUAAAUGUUCAAAACAACAAGUCGGGUCGUUACACUUAUUAGCGUCUUUUAGCUUUUAUUUUAGUCUAAAAGCAUUGAAUUACAUUUCCGAAACUAAUGAAAUGUAAAAAAUUACAGGAAUGCGGGAAGUUAGACUCCUGAGAUGCAAUCCGGCUCAAAGAGGAGAAGUCCAAGCACAAGGCAACAAAAGGGCACAGAAGCAUACAAAGUGCGGUCCGCAGAAGUAAUUCUGUGGCCGCAGAAGCAAUUGCGGAUCACAGAAUUCCACCUGCAGUCUCAAACAAAGAAGCAAAAUUCAGAAGAUAUUUGUGCGAAUUGCGGACCGCACAUGAAUUGUGCGGCUGCAAGAGCUGAGCUAGGACUCAAGUUCAGAGAGUGUGCAAAUUUCCAAGUCCCAAGUCCCUGUGAAUUGCUGACCGCACAAGAAUUGUGCGGUCGCAGACAUAAAUGUUCAGACCGCAGAAGACUGGAUUGCGACCGCAGACAUAAUUAGUAGACCGCAAAAAUGUUGCCUCGCGGCCGCAACUCAUAAUUGUACGGCCGUAGAAUCCCAGCCCCUGCCAGAUGAAGAAGUCUAUGGACUACACAUGGAAUUGUGCGGCCGCAGAACCUCCCGAGGGAAAAUUUUUGUUCGAGAUUUUCAGAUUUAUAUAAAUAGAAGAGUUUCACGAAAUUAGGUCAAGUUUUGACAUCAGCAAUUACCGUAGCCGUUUUUCUUUGCCUCUUUUGGAAGUUUACUAUAUUUUGGUGUAUUUUACAAUAGAUUUGAUUAUUUUAAGCUUACAUUAUAAGUUUAAUUAGUCUUUCUUCUUUUUCUUUUUCAAACCCAAGCAUGAGUAGCUAGAUUUUUACUAGGGUUGUGACUGAACCCUAGUGUGUUAACCUUAUGGGUAAUUAAAUUAGUGAUUGUUUAUGAUUUGGUAUAUGUUAUUUAGCCUAGUUCAUGCUUUAAUUUGUGGAAUUAAUGGUUGCAAACAUUAGUUCAUGUCUAUUUGACUUAGUCUAUAAUUGAGAAAGAGAGACUUAGUCUGGAAAAACUUGGGUAACAAGGAAUUGGGUCAAUCGAGAGAUUGAUUAACCCAAUUAAAGGGUUCAACCUAGAAAUAGUAAUAACCCGACUUGAGCUUUUAUCAACUUUUGUGUGAUACCCAUUUGGUCUUGAGAAAGCCAAAUUGGGCAAAACCACUCUCUGACCGAGAGGUAUUGAGUGGGUAAUUGAGAGUUGAUAGCUAUAACACACCUCGUCCAACAAAAUAAGCAUUAAGAUCUUUAUCCCAUUAGGCAAACUCCUAGGUAAUGGUCACAACUCUAGGCUUUUUAUCAAUUUGAAAAACCCCCAAAAACAAUCAUCUCUAGUUUUCUUUCUUUAAUUUGCAAUCAAUAGAGUAAAAAUUAGAAAUAGAAAAUCAAUCUUUUGUGGAAGUGAAAUCUUGAUAAUUCAAUCACGCGCAUUAAGAUAUAUACCCCUAACUCCCAUUCUUAGCUCCCUAUGGAUUCGACCCCGACUCUUAGUUGGAUUUUAUUAUUGCAAAUGACCGUUUCAUACCUCUUUUUAGGUGUGCUAUUGGACGCGAUCAAUUUUUUGCGCCGUUGCCGGGGAGUUUAAAACGGUGUUAGCUAUAUAUUUGGGUGUGUUUUUAAAGUAUCUUAUUUUCCUUCCGUGUUACUAAUUUGUUUGAGAAAUCGUAGGUACAACCAUGGCAAACAAAGAGCUCGGAAAUAUUGCUUUGGGGGAUGUAGACAUUGAGGAUGACCAAGUGGAUGAGGUUCCUCUUGAACCUCAAGCCAAUAGAAGAGGUCGAGUGGCUUAUGACAAUGUGCCCUUCCCACCCCCACCUCCACCACGAGCGGCUCCACACCGGGUGUUACCUAAUGAAGGAUAUGCAAGUGCAAUAGUCCUUUCCCGUAUUUGGGCAGGCAACUUUCAAAUCACCAACAUGAUGUUCACUUUGCUAGAGCAACGAGGUUUCUUCAUCGGUGCUCCAAGGCAAAAUGCAUACAAACAUUUGAAGUGAUUUGUGGAUACGUGUUGGGGGAGCAAGCAAAUAAAUGUCUCUGUGGAUGCUUUGAGGCUAAGGAUUUUUCCCUUCUAUCUACAGGGGAAAGCCUUAGAUUGGUUGGAAUGUUUGCCGAACCAUUCCAUUCACACUUGGGAUGAAUUGGUGGAAAAGAUUAUUUCUAAGUUCCUCUCUCCGGGGCACAUGGCUACACUUCGGGAUGAGAUUCUAGCAUUCAAGAAAGAGCCCAAUGAACCACAACACGAGAUAUGGGAGUGAUAUAGAACAAUGGUCAAGGAAUAUCCCAACAACGAUAUGACGGAAAAUAUGAUUCGACAAACCUUCUAUCGUGAGAUUAACACGACCAACCAAUGUGUGGUGAAUCAACUUGCCAGUGGAAAUUUUAUGACUACGCCUUAUGCGGAGGCGUGUGAGAUUUUAGAUGAAAUGGCGGAAACAUCAUCGGCGUGGCAAUCCUGGGCUAAUGUUCCACAAGGUGAUCCCAACGUGAUUCACCUCCACAAAGAGUUGCAUGACCAUGGGCAAUCCAUAGAAGAAUUGACUACCACCAUGAAUCAACUAGCAAAGGCUCAACUUCAACAAGUGCAACAUCCCAGGCAAGUCAAUGCCAUGGAGGGAGUAAACAUGAUGGUGAACAACCGAAAAACCAAGGGUCCACAAGAGCAACAACGAGUGGACAAUUUUGUACAAGAAGAUAGUGGGUUUGAUCAAGAUGAUUAUUACAAUGAACAAGAGGAGGAUGUGCUGCAAUAUGUGAACAACUUUAAAGGGCAAUAAAAUAAUUUCCAAGGCCCAAAUCAACAACAAUGGCGACCUCAAAAUAAUCAAGACAAUUGGAAUUCUACCAACCAAGGUAAUUGGAGUGGUGGAAACAAUCAAGGGAAUUGGCAUAAUAACAAUCAAAGAAAUUGGAAUGGUAAUAAUCAAGAAAAUUGGAUAGGUAAAAAUCAAGGCGGAUAGAACAAUAACCAAGGCAAACGGGGGUCGGGUUUUCAAAGGCCCCCGAUGUAUCAACAACCGAGCAACCCGUCUCCUUAUCCUUCCCAUGGUCCUAGUUCUUCCAAUAAUGAAAUGGGGCGUAUUGAGAACAUGUUCAAGCAAAUGAUGGAAAAGAAUGUCGAUUCGGAUGCCCAACUUGCCUCACCCAACACAUUGAUCGGCAAUUUAGAGGUGCAAAUAAGGCAAAUCUCUCAAGCUCUCAAUUCUCGUCCUAAGGGGGCACUACCAAGUGACACGGUGGUGAACCCAAAGGGUGGGAACAACAUGGGGCAUUCCAUAGCCGUGACUACAAAAAGCGGAAAAAGUGGGAAUUCACCCACCUCAAUUCAAAGGCAACUUGUGGAUGAUGAGCAAGUGGUACAAGAAGAAGAGGUCCCAAAUGAUGUGGUGCAAACAAAUGAUGAGAUUUAGAUUGCUAUUGAUGAUAAUGUGGAAGUGACUCAAGAGAAUGUGAACCCUUCUAGGGAUCACGUUAUUGACAUACUGGAACCGGUAGUGUAAAAGGCUAAGGCACCAUUGCCUAAGACUCCGCCUCCAUAUCCUCAAAGGCUCGCCAAGCAAAAUGGCGAGAAUCAAUUCAAAAUGUUCAUUCAAAUGAUGAAGAGUCUCUCAAUCAAUGUGCCAUUAGUUGAGGCUUUAGAACAAAUGCAUGGUUAUGCAAAGUUUAUGAAGGAUCUUGUGACAAAGAAGCGGUCAAUGAAUUUUGAAACUAUCAAGGUCACUCAUAAAGUGAGUGCAAUUGUGCUUUCAAUGACUCCUAAAUUGGAAGAUCCCGAUGCGUUCAAGAUUUCUUGUACAAUUGGAAGAGCUGAGUUUGCUAAAGCUCUUUGUGAUCUCGAUGCAAGUAUCAAUUUGAUGACCCUAUUCGAUUUUCAAGACCUAGGGAAUUGGGCAACCAAGACCCACAUCUAUGAGAUUGCAAAUGGCUGAUCGUACAAUGAAGAGACCGUUGGGAGUGAUUGAAGAUGUAUUGGUUCGUGUUGAUAAAUUCAUUCUUUCAGCGGAUUUUGUCAUUCUUGAUUGUGAAGUGGAUUAUGAGGUGUCGAUUAUUCUUGAAAGACCUUUCCUUGCUACGGGGAAGGCUCUUUAUGAUGUGGAGGCCGGAGAACUCACCUUCCGGGUGGGUGAUGAAAAAGUGGUAUUCCAUGUGUGCAAAUCCAUAUGGAAACCAAAUAGCAACGAGGUGUGUUCUUUUGUGGACUUGGUGAUCGAUGUUAUUGUUGAUGAUACAAGUGCCACAAUCAAUGUUGGUGAUAUGUUGGAGGCCGUCUUGCUCAAUUUUUAUGAUGACGAGAUGGAUGUCUUCAUGGAAUGUGUGAACUCUUUGCAAGGAAUGGGGUCGUACAAUUAUGCACCUCGAAAACUAUCUUUGGACCUUGAAAAUAGGAAAAAUCCUCCUACAAAGCCUUCCAUUGAAGAGCCUCCUACCGUGGAGUUGAAGCCAUUGCCUCCACAUCUUCGGUAUGAAUUUCUUGGCCCUUGUUAUACUUUGUCGGUUAUUCUUUCUUCUUGUUUGACUAAUAUCCAGGUAGAUUCUACAUUGACGGUGCUACAUAAGAGGAAGAAGGCCAUUGGGUGGACACUGGCGGAUAUUCGGGGAAUACGCCCCGUAUUUUGCAUGCACAAGAUCAACUUGGAGGAAGACGCCAAACCAUUUAUUGAACAUCAAAGGAGACUCAAUGAGGCUAUGCAAGAGGUUGUAAAAAGGAGAUCAUCAAGUGGUUGGAUGCCGGGGUUGUUUACCCCAUUUUCGAUAGUUCGUGGACUUCUCUAGUUCAAUCUUUCCCAAAAAAAGGGGCCAUGACGGUGGUCACUAAUGACAAGAAUGAGUUUAUUCCUACAAGAAUGGUGACCGGUUGGAGAGUGUGUAUGGACUAUCGCAAGCUCAACAAAGUCACAGGGAAGGUUCAUUUUCCACUUCUCUUCCUUGACCAAAUGCUUGAUAGGUUAGCCGGCCGUACUUUCUGUUGCGUUCUUGAUGGAUAUUCGGGCUAUAACCAAAUCCUUAUUGCUCCAGAGGAUCAAGAGAAAACAACCUUUACAUGUCCCUAUGGUACUUUCGCCUUCAAGCGGAUGCCAUUUGGUUUAUGUAAUGCACCGGCAACUUUUCAUAGGUAUAUGAUGGCUAUCUUCACGGACAUGGUGGAGGACUACCUUGAAGUUUUCAUGGAUGACUUCUCGGUGGUUAGGGAUUCCUUUGAUGAUUGUCUUGAAAAUUUGGAUAAAGUGUUGGCAAGGUGUGAAGAAAUGAAUUUGGUGCUAAAUUAGGAGAAAUGUCAUUUCAUGGACGAGAAAGGCAUUGUCCUUGGCCACAAGAUCUCAAAGAAUGGAAUUGAAGUUGACAAGGCAAAGAUUGAGGUGAUUUCUAAACUUUCACCUCCAAUGUCGGUGAAAGGUAUGCGGAGUUUCUUAGGCCACGCAGGGUUUUACUGGCGCUUCAUCAAAGAUUUCUCUAAAAUUAUGAACCCUUUGUGCAAACUUCUUGAGAAAGAUGCAAAGUUUAACUUCAACGAUGAUUUCAUGAGAGCCUUUGAAUUGUUAAAGUUCAAGUUGACAACUACCCACAUCAUCAUCGCUCCAAAUUGGAGUGUCCCCUUUGAACUCAUGUGUGAUGCUAGUGACGUAGCGGUUGGAGCUAUUUUGGGGCAACACAUCAACAAGAUAUUGCAUCUGGUCUACUAUGCUAGUAAGACCAUAAAUGGUGCCCAAGUCAACUAUACCGUUACGGAGAAAGAGCUCAUUUCCAUUGUGUUUUCCUUUGAGAAGUUCCGCCUGUACUUGAUGGGUGCAAAAUUUAUUGUCCACACGGAUCAUGUGGCACUUCGUUAUCUUAUGAGCAAGGAAGAUUCCAAAGCUCGGUUGAUGAGAUGGGUGCUUUUGUUGCAAGAGUUUGAUAUUGACAUCCAAGAUAGAAAAGGGAGUGAAAAUCAAGUGGCGGACCACUUGUCUCGUUUGGAGGAGGAGGGGANNNNNNNNNNNNNNNNNNNNNNNNNAUCAAUGACUCCUUCCCCGAUGAGCAACUCUUGGCUAUUUCAAUGAAGGAGGUGUCAUGGUUCGCGGAUCUAGAAAAUUUCCUUAUGUGUGGAAUCAUCUCGGGUGAGUUCUCUUCAAACCAAAGAAAGAAGUGCAAACGGGAUUGUCAAUAGUAUUAUAGGGAUGAACCAUACCUUUUCCAGAUUUACACGGAUGGGAUGAUUAGAAGAUGUGUACCGGAAGAAGAACAAGGUUAAAUUCUUGGAGCUUGUCAUUCUUCGCCGUAUGGUGGUCACCAUGGUGGGGCAAGAACAGCGGCCAAAGUUUUAAGUUGCGGUCUCUAUUGGCCCACUCUUUACAAGGAUGCAAGUGAUGUAGUGAAAAGAUGUGAUGAAUGUCAACGGGCCGGUGGAAUCUCGAAGAAGAAUGAAUUGCCUCUCACUACCAUUUUGGAGAUUGAUAUCUUUGAUGUGUGGGGUGGUCCUUUUGUGAGUUCUUGUGGAAACACCUACAUCUUGGUCGCAUUUGAUUAUAUGUCUAAAUGAGUUGAGGCCAUUUCUCUACCCAACAAUGAGGCGAGAAGUGUGGUGGUGUUCUUAAAGAAGAAUAUUUCCACAAGGUUUGGUACUCCGAGGGCUAUCAUAAGCGAUGAGGGGUCGCAUUUUUGCAAAAAGACUUUUGACACUUUACUUAGCAUGUAUUGUGUUACUCAUAAAGUCACGACUCCUUAUCAUCCACAAGAAAGCGGUCAAGUGGAAGUCUCCAACUGGGAGAUAAAGAGUAUUUUGUCCAAAAUAGUGAAUGCUAAUCGGACGGAUUGGUCCAACAAGCUUGAGGAUACAUUAUGGGCUUAUCGUACGGCUUACAAAACACCUAUCGGAAUGUCGCCAUCCCGGUUGGGGUUCGGAAAAGCUUGUCAUCUUCCGGUGGAACUUGAGCACAAAGCCAUGUGGGCUCUAAAGAAGUUGAAUCUUGAUUGGGAUGUAGCUGCUAACUUGAGGGUUGCACAUUUGAAUGAAAUGGAUGAGUUCUGCUAUCAUGCUUAUGCAAGUUCGCCCUUGUACAAAGAAAAGAUGAAAUAUCUUCAUGACAAAUACAUUUGGAACAAAGAGUUCAAGGUGGGUGAUCUUGUAUUGUUGUUCAACUCAUGGUUGAGGAUGUUUCCCAGAAAGCUAAAGUCUAAAUCGAGUGGUCAUUUAGAAAUUAUGGGUAUGACACAUUUUGGUGCAUUGGACUUGAAGAACAAAAACAAUGAGGUAUUCCGAGUCAAUGGUCACCGGGUGAAGCACUAUUUGGAAAAAGUUGGAGAUGGCCACGUCGUGGCAGUGAUUCAUUUCAACUGAUAGUAGUAUGCAUCGUGUCGCGACGUUAAAUCAGGCGCUUCUUGGGAGGAAACCCAUGUUUCUUUUUCUUUUCUUUGUUUCUUUUGCAGUUAGGUGUUAUUUUUAUGCUAACUUGAUUUGAAGUAUACUGCAGGGAUGAGUGUGCUUUACAGGAAUUGUGGAUAGAAAUUUGGUUUUAAGUGUUGAAAGAAUUGCGAACCGCAGUUGCAUUGUGCGGGCCGCACAAUUAUGAUUGAUGCAGCAAAAUUGUAUUGCGGCCGCACAAUUAACCUGCGGACCGCACAACUGGAAGAUGAAAAAUGACAACUCUCUGAAGUUGGUCCGUCAGAAAAAUGGCUUAUCUGUGGCCGUAACACACAAUCUUCGGUCCGCACAUUUGAUCUGCGGUCGCACACAAAAAUUUACGGACCGCAAAAUAAAAUAGCAUUUAAGCCCCCAGGUUGUUGAGUGCGGACUGCAAUUGGAAUUCUACGGCUGCACUCGCUUCUCCUUCCCUUGUCAAAAAUCAAUAGGUAUAAAUAGAGGGGCUAGGGCCACUGUUCUCCUUUUCCCUCUUUGAGCACACAACGGGUAUUUUUUUGAAAUCUCUUGUUAAAUCAUCUACCCACACGUCUACAACUGUUGAUCACUCAUUUCUUCACACUCAUUCAUUUGGUAUGUUUCACAAUCUUGUUAAUCUUUUUCAUUUAACUUUUAGAUUUUUAGUAAAAUUUUAGGCCAUUUGUUUGUUGAAUUUGAUUGUACAUACUUGUGGGGGUAAAUAUGUAGUGGGUCAACUAGUACUUGUUAAUUGGGAACUCGGUAAAUGUAUUUUCAUGAUUUGAUGUUGUUUCCAUGUCAAAAUUUGUGCAAAAAAUUGCAUGCCCUAGAUAAAAUUGUCGAACUGUUCGUAAUUGUUGGAAUCUGCGGCCGCACAAGAAAUUGUGUGGUCCGCAGAAGUUGAUUCUAAGUAAGUUUAAUUAAGGAUGAGUCUACGUCCUCAAGGAAAAUUGUGCCGACUGUAGAAUUUCCAUUGCGACCGCAAAAACAUCUCUUUUCCUGUCUUCAAAGAAGGGUGAUAUUUGUGAUUUAAUGUGCAGCUGCAAGACAAAAUGUGUAGUCCGCAAAAAAUAUGUUGCGGUCGCAAAACAACCAAUUCUUUGUUAUCAGAGAGUUGGCAUAUUUGUGGUAUCUGUGUUGCGGCCGCAAGACAAAAUGUGCGGACCGUAAUCCAAAUCUGCGGCCGCAAAAGAAAAUUGUGCGGUCCGCAAGGCCCUUUAUGCGGCCGCAAUGAGAAAUGUGCGGACCGCAAAUCCCUACCCUGCAAGCAUGUUUCAACUGUGUUCCUCACUGUAUUUUCUGGUGUGUCCUUACAUUCAUUGUAUGUCUGAACUUGAAUUGUAGCUAACAAUCGCCUUUGCUUGGUACAGAAAAUGGUUCGAUCUAGAGAAAGAGGCGACACUUCGAAAGGAAGGGGUGACCCUUCUCGGGGAUGAGCUAAGAGACCCUUACCUAGUGCCCAGCAGCAUGAAAUCAGAAAGUAAAUAGCAGCCGGGAGAGGUGCAGACCUUUCCGAGACCAGUUCUUAUAUCCCAUUUAGGGAAGCAUCACAGGGAAACUCAGCCUUUGUACAUGAGCAGACGACUGUCCCGUCAAGGUCGCCAGGGAGGUAUCAACUCAAGGACGAGAUGUCAUCAUCACACAGCACUUUCGAGGGUUCGAAAAGUGCUAGUCAGGCUUCUGAGCCUUCCACUACACUUGUCCCUGAGGCACCAGAGACAUCAGUUCAGGACAUCCCCGAUGAUGGGAGGGGGAGAUGCUACAAUUGCCAGACUAGAAAGGUCGAAGAAGAAAGAGGUAUGGGAAGACAGGUUUGUCAGCUUGGCAAUUUUCUCGAGCUUCCGUGAUUGGUGGCCAAUGAGGUCGCUCACUCCUGAGCGACGGUUUCAGUAGAACGAUCUGGAGAAGUAUAACCCUGCAGUAUUGAUACAGUUUAAAGAAUGCAAAGGGUUGAUGUGGUUUACCUAGAGCGUGGUGGAUGCUAAGGAGUACCUUGUCCAGGAAUUCUACGCCAAUGUGGUACAUAUCAAGAAAGGGACAAAGAUGACGAAAGUGAGAAACCUCAAAGUGCGAUUUGAUCAGCACACAUUGAACACAUACUUGGGAUUUGAUGAUAUCGAGCCCAUAGAGUACUUAGAGAAAUGUGCACUUGGGGAUGCAGCUCGUCCUUGGCUAGCAGAGAUUAUAGCAGGUUCUGAACUACCACCACUGAUCACAAUAGGGGUUUCUAUUCACGGGAGUACUCUGAUCUUUGAAGCAAAGGGGUGGCAGACCUUUGUAUGCAGCAGACUGGACCCAUGCUAGAAUGAGACCUAUCUCCCGAUCCCUCGGGCAAUUCUAGUUGCGUCCAUCAUGGCCGAGUACUCUAGCAAUGUGGGAGCCGUGAUGUCGGCCAACAUCUCUGUGAUCUCUCGGCAAGCUGACACAUCCUACCUGUAUCCCAACACUAUUACAGAAUAUCUUACGGAUGCGAGGGUAGAGCCGAGGGACUUUGAUACAAAGGUGUGGCCGAAGAAACCUUUCACAUGGUACUCACGGAUGGAUGCACACAACCCUAAGAAAAAGGGUCAGUAGUCUAUCACCACAUGCCAGUUUGAUGAGCCAUCGGUGGUAGUUAUAGAGGCAGUUGAUAUUCCAUCCAUUUCGGCCUAGCAUUCAUCUAGUGCCACAGCUAUGCCUCUACCACCAUCUUCAGUUCCCAUUACAGUUCCUGCCACAGGUUCCACCUCGGCUUUGAAGCCGGUGCCCAUGCCUACUGCUUCACUUUCUGCGCUGCGAGUCUCCCAGACAUUGGCAAGCCUCAACUACUGGAUGCAGACAGCCACUGCAAAGUUUUCUAACUUAUCCAGUGCUAUUGCAAUGCAGUCUUCUAUUCCGGCACCUCAGAUGCCCCCAUCAACGGAAGAAAUAUUGAAGAAGCUCCUGAAACACCAGAACACCAUCAUGGCUACAUUGGUACAACAUGGGUCAGUGAUCGAAGAUUUGGGAAAAGAAGUAAAGAAGCUGAGAAAGUCCCAAGCCUCCAAGAAGUCAGUGGACAAGCUUCGGAGACAGGUUACCAAGUUUUCUGCAUCCGGAGGUAUUCCAUUUGACAUGCUGAUUGACCCACACCACCCAGGCCCAGAUCCUACAGCACCAACAACACCGGUGGCACCAGCUGGCCAGUCUGAGGAGCCAGACUCUGCUGCUGACACUGGAGAGGCAGUGCGUCAGAUGUUCACCAACCCAGUCACUCCCAGAGUUGAGGAUGAUGAGAUCCUGUUGGAAGAGACUGAGGGUGGUGACAUUGCUGGGGACACAGAGAUGUCCAAGGAGCCAUAGGGAGUCUUCUUCACUCUUUCCCUUCAUUUACUCUUAUUUUGUUAAGCAUUGGGGACAAUGCUUAAUUUUAUUCAGUGGGUGAAGUUUAUUUGAUCUUAUUUGAUGAUUCUGAGAUAUUUGUCUUGUAAUAACUUGAUACUAUUUUCUUCUUCUUCUCUCAUUAUGUAUAUAUCUUCUCUUUCUCCCUCAUUAUGUAUAUUCGAUAUAAUUUCGAUCGUUUUUACUUUGUAGCUUCUUUAUGUUUGUUUUCUUAUUAGUUAGUGUUUAUUUUAGUAGCUUCUUUUUAUGUUUUAGUAGAUAAUAAGCCUUAGGUUUUCUUAAUGCCAUGGUUCUUUCCAAAGGUAGUUUUUCUGUGAACCGGGUGACUCUUCCCAACGAUGGAUGGUGUGACAACCUUCUUAAGGGACUGAGUCUGUUUUUGGUCUUUAGGUAAUAAUAGUAGUAGUAAUGAAUAAAAAGACCUAAUUAAGUCAUGCUCGAAGAGUCAAACAUGCUUCAUUUGGCACCAACACACUUAACUACGUGCUUAUGGUUAGAAACAAGGUUUUUGGAAGAAAUAGCUCUAGUUAGUGACUUUGUGACUCUUGUGUNNNNNNNNNNNNNNNNNNNNNNNNNNNNNNNNNNNNNNNNNNNNNNNNNNNNNNNNNNNNNNNNNNNNNNNNNNNNNNNNNNNNNNNNNNNNNNNNNNNNNNNNNNNNNNNNNNNNNNNNNNNNNNNNNNNNNNNNNNNNNNNNNNNNNNNNNNNNNNNNNNNNNNNNNNNNNNNNNNNNNNNNNNNNNNNNNNNNNNNNNNNNNNNNNNNNNNNNNNNNNNNNNNNNNNNNNNNNNNNNNNNNNNNNNNNNNNNNNNNNNNNNNNNNNNNNNNNNNNNNNNNNNNNNNNNNNNNNNNNNNNNNNNNNNNNNNNNNNNNNNNNNNNNNNNNNNNNNNNNNNNNNNNNNNNNNNNNNNNNNNNNNNNNNNNNNNNNNNNNNNNNNNNNNNNNNNNNNNNNNNNNNNNNNNNNNNNNNNNNNNNNNNNNNNNNNNNNNNNNNNNNNNNNNNNNNNNNNNNNNNNNNNNNNNNNNNNNNNNNNNNNNNNNNNNNNNNNNNNNNNNNNNNNNNNNNNNNNNNNNNNNNNNNNNNNNNNNNNNNNNNNNNNNNNNNNNNNNNNNNNNNNNNNNNNNNNNNNNNNNNNNNNNNNNNNNNNNNNNNNNNNNNNNNNNNNNNNNNNNNNNNNNNNNNNNNNNNNNNNNNNNNNNNNNNNNNNNNNNNNNNNNNNNNNNNNNNNNNNNNNNNNNNNNNNNNNNNNNNNNNNNNNNNNNNNNNNNNNNNNNNNNNNNNNNNNNNNNNNNNNNNNNNNNNNNNNNNNNNNNNNNNNNNNNNNNNNNNNNNNNNNNNNNNNNNNNNNNNNNNNNNNNNNNNNNNNNNNNNNNNNNNNNNNNNNNNNNNNNNNNNNNNNNNNNNNNNNNNNNNNNNNNNNNNNNNNNNNNNNNNNNNNNNNNNNNNNNNNNNNNNNNNNNNNNNNNNNNNNNNNNNNNNNNNNNNNNNNNNNNNNNNNNNNNNNNNNNNNNNNNNNNNNNNNNNNNNNNNNNNNNNNNNNNNNNNNNNNNNNNNNNNNNNNNNNNNNNNNNNNNNNNNNNNNNNNNNNNNNNNNNNNNNNNNNNNNNGAUGAAAUGACCCUUUCACUUGUGGAGGUGGGAACUAAAUUGUUUGCUUGAGGACAAGUAAAGACUUAAGUUUGGUGGAGUUGAUAAGUGGGGAUUUUGACAACUUAUUAGCGCCUUUUACCUUUUGUUUUAGUAUAAAAGAAUUGAAUUGUGUUCCCGAAACUAAUGAAAUAUGCAAAAUUGCAGGAAUGCUGGAAGUUGGACUCCCGAGAUGAAAUCCGGCUGAAAGAGGAGAAGUCCAAGCACAAGACAACAAAAGGGCACAGAAGCAUACAAAGUGCAGUACGCAAAAGCAAUUGCGGAUCGCAUAAUUCCACCUGCGGCCGCAAAUAAAGAAGCGAAAUUCAGUAGAUAUUUGUGUGAAUUGCGGAACGCACAUGAAUUGAGCGGCCGCAAGACCUGGGCUAGGACUCAAGUUCAAAGAGUGUGCAAAUUUCUAAGUCCCAAGUCCCUGUAAAUUGCGGACCGUACAAGAAUUGUGCCGCUAAAGAAGAAGUGCCUUACGACCGAAGACAUAAAUGUGCGGACCUCAGAAUACUGGAUUGCGUCCACAAACAUAAUUUGUGGACCGCAAAAAUGUUGCCUCGCGGCCGCAACGCAGAAUUGUGUGGCCGCGAAAUCCCAGCCCCUGCCAGAUUAAGAAGUCUGCAGACCGCACAUGGAAUUGUACGGCCGCAGAACCUCCCGAGGUGUAUUUUUGUCAGAGAUUUUCAGACUUGUAUAAAUAGAAGAGUUUCACAAAAUUAGGUCAAGUUUUGACAUCAGCAAUUACUGUAGCCAUUUUUCUUUGCCUCUUUUAGAAGUUUACUAUAUUUUGGUGUAUUUUACAAUAGAUUUGAGUAUUUUAAGCUUACAUUAUGAGUUUAAUUAGUCUUUCUUCUUUUUAUUCUUAAUACCCAAGCAUGAGUAGCUAGAUUCUUACUAGGGUUGUGACCCAACCCUAGUGUGUCAACCUUAUGGGUAAUUAAAUUAGUGUUUGUUUAUGAAUGGGUGUUUGUUAUUUAGACUAGUUCAUGCUUUAAUUUGUGGAAUCAAUGGUUGCAAACAUUAGUUCGUGCCUAUUUGACUUAGUCUCUACUUGAGAAAGAGAGACUUAGUCUAGGAAAACUUGGCUAACAAGGAAUUGGGUCAAUCGAGUAAUUGAUUAACCCAAUUAAAGGUUUCAACCUAGAGAUAGUAAUAACCUGACUUGAGCUUUUAUCAACUAUUUUGUGUGAUACCCAUUUGGUCUUAAGAAAGCCAAAUUGGAAAAAAUCACUCUCUAAACGAGAGGUAUUGAGUGGGUAAUUGAGAGUUGAUAGCUAUAACACACCCCGACCAACAAAAUAAGCAUUAAGGUCUUUAUCACAUUAGGCAGACACCUAGGUAAUGGUUACAGCUCUAGGCUUUUAUCAAUUUGGAAAAUUCCCAAAAACAGUUAUCUCUAGUUUUCUAUAUUUAAUUUGCAAUCAAUAGAGUAAAAAUUAGAAAUUGAAAAUCAAUCUUUUGUGGAAGUGAAAUCUUGAUAAUUCAAUCACGCGCAUUAAGAUAUAUACCCCUAACUCCCAUUCUUAGCUCCCUGUGGAUUCGACCCCGACUCUUAGUUGAGUUUUAUUAUUAUAAACGACAGUUUCAUACCCCUUUUGAGGUAUGCUAUUGGACGCGAUCAGCAGUGAGGCUGCUUCAGGAGGCACUUACUCGAACAUGUAUCUCCGGGCCUGUUUUGGGCACAAACACUUCUUUACGGAGUCCCUGGCCGGAGAAAAGAAUAAGAGGGCAAAGAUUGAUGCCUCUGAGUCAUCUCCGGUGGCGAUGGUGAUUGGUCCUCCUUCCGGGUCAGUCAUAGACACUGUGAUGAUUGAUGAUGAUGAAGAAGCUAGUGAUAAGAGAGCUUCUCUACUUAGAAGACAACGAUCCUCAUCAUCUCAACAGGAUGUUCGACCUGUUGAGAGAGUUACACCAACCGAGGACGUUGCCUCGGCACUUUGGAGAGAGUUUGAUUUGGUAGAUAAUGUCAACUCCCAUUUUCGGGCCCUAAUUAUUGUGCCCGGUACUUAAGGGCUGAGUACCUGCUUCUUGCCGUCUUUGGUUGGCAAGCAUCCAACAACCAGUACUGCAUUUGAUGCAACUGCUUCUCAUUCUUCAAUUCCAUCAGCUUCAUCUCCAUCUUUACCAGUACCAGCAACUGCUACAUCAUUUUCAUCUCCAUCCACUCUUCCACCAGCAGUUGCUACAUCGCCUCCACCGGUCGUACCUGACCAUGAAAAGGGUGUUCCUCUUCCACAAUCCCCAGUUCAUGGGAAUUUGGGGCAAAAUUAUGCUGCCCCUUCUGAAGAUCCACAAAGGAGGAGGAGCGUUACUCUUUCGAUAUCUACCGGAUGCAGCUUGUUAUUCCGGUCGAUGGAGCUUGCUAAUUAUCUGAAGCCUUUGGCUUCAGAGAAAGACUGGGAAAAGAUUUAGGCACUCUCAGGAGAAUGUUUGUUGAACAACGCCAUGCACAAUGCCGCAGCGGUAUGUUCCUUUAUUCCUUUGUUAUUUCUUCUACUUUUGUAUCAAUGUAUUCUAAGUUUUACUUAUUCUUAUUUUGUAGGCCAACUUUCUUGCUUUUGAGGUCCUUCAGAGGUUGAUUAGUGAGAAGGAGGAACUUACUUCUGAACGGAAUCAACUUUUGAUGGAACGGGACCAAACUGUUAUCCGCCUCUCGGAACUGGAAACCAAAGCUACUGAGGUCGUUGUUUUUUAUGCUCGUUUACAGCAAAGCGAGCAAGAAGUGGUAACCCUUAGCCAAGAAAUUUUCCCGUUGAGGGUUAGAUUUGAUAAAGCCAAGGCCACAUGGGCUGAAGCUCAUGACGUCGUUCUUGCUGCAACUGAGCGCGAGGAUGCCUCCGCUGAAAGAGUGAUUAACUUAGAGACAACCUUGAACUCUAAAAUUGAAGCGCUUGCUGUUGUGGGAGCGGGGCCAAACACGCCCAGCUAGAAGAGAAGUACAAGAAAACUAUCGAGCAUAAUAGGCUCUUUAGUUCAACUGUCCGCGACCUUGAUGUCAGCCUCAAAUCUACUAGGUCCGCCCGGGAAAACCUUUCUGCCGAGGUAACCCAACUCAAAGAAGAACUCAAGCUCCGAGAAGCUUCCCCUCGUUGUUGAAAAAACUUACGCCAUGUACAGCAUGAGGAGAAAAAUCUUGGAACAGGCCAAAGUUGGUGUCAUUGACUUUGAUGCCGAAAUUGCUAAGGCACGCGAGCUUGAGUUAGCUGCUAAAAGUAAACUCCCAUCGAGGUCUGAUGUACCUGGUCCUUCUGGUUUUGGUUCCGAAUUUUCGGGAACUGAAGAAGAAUCGGAAGAUGAUGAUGCCAAAGGCCAAACUGAUGAAAAUGUUGAGCCACCGGUGGACCCACCUACUUCUCCCGGGGAUGCGGACACUUCACUUCCUCCUGGUUUCGGAGGCACUGCGGUUUAGAUUUUCUUUUCUUUUUCCCAUUUGGUAUUUUACCGUUUUGGCACGUUCUUGUAAAUAAAGACAUAUUUUUGCGCAAGUAUUGUUUGAGUCUUACUUUCAUUUGAAUAUCCAUGCAAGUCUUUAACCUUUGCAUUUGCUUAAGAAUUCUGUGCACGUUUUUCUGUUCGCGCUUUACUAUGUGUAGUCUCGGAUACAUUUUCCUCGAAACACUUUGGUUUCGAGCAUUAUUCCUUUUACGUGAGGGUUUCUAUAAGUAUUUGCGCAAGUUUAUUUUUUGCGUCCUUUUGUGUAUGUCUUUGGGUGCAUUUUUCCUCGAAGGCACUUUGAUUUCGGGCAUAAAUUCUUUCGAUACCAACCCUUUAACGUGAGGGUUUUCAUAAGAGGCUGCUCUCUUAUGUUUAGGGUGCUCUUGAAGAGGACGUCUCCUGUUCAUUACGGCACUAACAUUUGAAGUACUUGUUUAACUUUCAAAUGACAAAGUUAGUUUAUCGUGCAGACAAGUAACAAGAUAAAAAUAAAAGGAUUUCUUUUCAUAUAAUUCCUUCUAUUUUCAAAAGUACACAAGCAUUUAUUAUGCUAAGAAAUUGCCAUUACUUGUGGAUAUCUUUGUACAACUUGUCUAUACGGGGCUGGAUGCGCAGUCCCCGGUCUCGAUGAUGUAUUUGGUUUCCAGAUUUUCAGUUCCUGGUUGGCGUGGCAGUCAAUGUUGUCGUAUCCGCAUAUCAUUACCCCCCUCCCCCUCCCCCCCGCCAGUGUUCGAAUGCGAAGAAUGUGAAUUGGAACACUGGAAGUCUUAUGCCUUCAAAGAUCCCACCAAUGAAUUGCUAGAUAAUCCUUAACUCGGCAACAUACCUUACUUCCCCUUAGGAAUCCAUGCUAUCGAGCGAAAGAAUAUCUAACAAUCCUCUAGCAACUUGUGCUCGUGAACAGUCGGGUAACCUCUAUUCGGUAGCAAACUUAACUUCCCAGUGGGAAUUUGCUAUCGAACCAAAGAUUAUCUAACUGUCCCCGAGUGGAAGAUUAUUUGUUUGCCUUGCUCUCAAAGGACUUAUUGUUGUUGUCUUCGUAGUAUGCUUUCUAUCGCUGCCUCAUUAAAAACCUUGCCAGAAAAACCCAAUUGGGACAAAAACUGAACGAAGGGAAAAAGAGUGCAGCACAUACUUUCUGCUUUAGUAAUGUUUAUCAACAAUAAUAUCUUUUGAGGUGUGCCACGUUCCAGUUGCUAGGCAACUUGUCUCCACUCUGGUUCUCCAACUCGUAUGAACCUUUCCCAUGUUAAAGACCUCCCCACGUUGAACCUAGUUUCCCUGCGUUGAGCUCCCGAGUAUUUUGGGUUACUUUCUUCAUAACCAAAUCUCCUACUUUGAAAUAACGGAGGUUGGCUCUUCGAUUAUAAUAUUGCUCCAUUCUCUGCUUUUGAGUUGCCAUUCUUACACGCGCCAAGUCUCUGAGUUCCUCGAGCAGUUCCAAGUUGACUAACAUUGCUUCAUUGUUCGAUUCUUCAUCUGCCAGAAAAUAUCUCAAAGUGGGUUCGCCCACUUCCACUGGGAUUAGGGCUUCAGCAUCGUACACAAGGGAAAAAGGCAUUUCUCUUGUGCUCGAUUUGGCCGUUGUUCGGUAGGCCCAUAGAACUCCGGGAAAUUCUUUGGGCCAUUUGCCUUUUGCUGCUUCCAACCUUUUCUUGAUGUUUUGAAUAAUCACUUUGUUUGUUAACUCCGCUUAACCGUUUUUGCUCGGAUGAUAAGGAGAAGAUGUGAUCCUCUUUAUCUUCAAAUCUUCGAGGAACUUUGUAACUUUUGCACCGAUAAACUAUGGCCCAUUGUUGUAUUCUAUCUCUUUUGGUAUUCCGAACCUUCAAAUUAUAUUUUUCCACAAAAAAUCCACCACUUUGCGUUCUCUGAUAUUCUGAUAAGGACAUGUUUCUACCCAUUUAGAAAAAUAGUCAGUCAGAAUUAAAAGAAACCUUACCUUUUCGGGAGUCGGUGGCAGUGAUCCAACGAUGUCCAUCCCCCAUUUCAAGAACGGCCAUGGGGACAGAACCGAAUAUAAGAAUUCUACCGAUUGGUGUACUAGUGGUGCGUGGCAUUAGCACUUAUCACAUUUUUGUACGAAGUCUUUGGCGUCUUGUUCCAUGCGAAGCCAGUAAUAUCCUACCCGUACCAACUUCAGCACCAAAGAAUAUGCGCCCAAGUGAUUGUCGCAUAUCCAUUCGUGGACUUCUCUCAUGACAUAAUUAGCUUCUGAUGCUUAUAAGCACCGGGCCAGCGGGCCUUGGAAGGAUUUUCUAUACAAUUGGCCUCUCCUGAAGCUAUAACAUGCAGCUUUGACGUGUAACGCUCGUGAUGCUUUGGGGUCUUCGGGUAAAUUCCCAUGCUCGAGAUAGUCGUUUAUUUCAUUUCUCCAAUCGCAGACCAGACUAGUCGAAUUUACCUCACAGUAAGCAUUUGUAUCCAGGACUGAGUUCAUUAGUUGCAUUACCAUCCCGAACUCUGAUCCCUUUAUUUCCGUCGACGAUCCUAAUUUUUCUAAUGUAUCCACUUCUGCGUUAUCCUCCCUCAUGAUAUGAGUAAUUGACCAUUCCCAGAAUCGUGCCAAAAAAAGCCUGGACCUUUACCACGUAUUGUUGCAUACGUUCUUCUUUGGUAUCAAAGAUCCUAUAGACCUGAUUUACCACCAGCUGCGAGUCACAUUUGAUUUCAAUAACCUCGGAAACAAGUCCUCGGGCUAAUUCGAGCCCUGCAAUCAAAGCUUCGUAUUCUGCUUCAUUGUUAGUUAAAGGGAUCGUUUUGAUGGCUUGCCUUAAGGUUUCCCCCGAAGGCGUGAUUAAGACUAUUCUGAGUUCGAACUCUUUUACGUUGGAAGCUCUAUCCCUAAAUAAGGUCCAAACCCCCGAUGUCGAUUCUGACACCAUUACUGCCUUCUUGGUUGCCAGAGGCAGAAGUGCUGGACUGAAAUCGGCCACGAAGUCAGCUAAGACUUGUGACUUAAUUGCAAUCCUUGGUUUAUAUUCUAUGUCGAACUCACUCAUUUCGACGGCCCAUUUGUCCAAUAUACCCGAGAUCUGGGGUUUAUAGAGGAUGUUCCGCAAAGGAAAAGUAGCCACCACAGCUAUCGGGUGACAUUGAAAAUAGGGCCUCAACUUCCGAGUAGCGACUACGAGAGCUAAGGCUAGUUUUUACAAAUGUGGGUAGCGAGUUUUUGCUCUCGUUAAAAUUUUGCUAAUAUAACAAAUGGGAAAUUGCGUACCUUCAUCCUCUCGGACUAAAACUGCACUUACCGCAACUUCUGAAACUGCGAGGUAGACUAGCAAUCUUUCACCUUCUUUUGGUUUUGAGAGCAAUGGAGGGCUUGAUAAGUACUUCUCCAGGCCCCUUAGAUCCUGUUGGCACUCCGGUGUCCAUUCAAAAUUAUUUUUAUUUUUGAGCAGUGUGAAGAAGCGAUGACAUUUUUCCGACGACCGGGAAAUGAACCUGCUCAAAGCUGCUAAUCUUCUUGUGAGCAUUUGGACUUCUUUUACGUUCGACAACUGAUCCGGGAUAUCCUCUAUGGCCUUGAUUUUGUCGGGGUUCACCUCAAUUCCUCUUUGUGAGACCAGAAAUCCCAGAAACUUACAAGAACUGACCCCGAAUGCGCACUUCUCGGGAUUAAGUUUCAUGUUAUGCUUCCUCAGGAUGUAGAAUGUUUCUUGCAAAUGCUUAAGGUGGUUACCUGCAUUCAAAGACUUAACGAGCAUAUCGUCUAUAUAAACUUCCAUAUUCUUUCCUAUUUGCUUUUUAAACAUCUUAUUUACGAGCCGUUGAUAAGUGGCUCCGGCGUUUUUCAACCAGAAGGGCAUCACAUUGUAACAAUAUGUACCGAAAUUCGUUAUAAACGAAGUCUUUUCCUGAUAUUCCGGGUUCAUCUUGAUUUGGUUGUACCCGGAAUAAGCAUCGAGGAAACUCAUUAACUCAUGCAUGGCCGUGGCAUCAAUCAUUUGAUUGAUAUUUGACAGUGAGACCGAGUCUUUCGGGCACGCCUUAUUAAUGUCUUUAUAGUCUACACACAUGCAAAAUUUAUUGUUCUUCUUCGGAACUACUACUACAUUGGCUAGCCAGUCCGGAUAUCUUACCUCUCGGAUCGAACCGAUGUUAAGCAAGCAGGUUAUCUCUUCUUUGACGAAUGUAUUCCUGGCCUCAGCAAUAGGGCGUUUCUUUUGUCUUACUGGAGGUACGUUGGGAUCCAAACUCAGCUUGUGCACGGCUACUUCCGUCGGGAUACAUGUCAUAUCCUCGUGCGACCAUGCAAAACAAUCGGUAUUAAAUUUAAGGAAUUCAAUAAAACCAUACCUGAGCUCCGGGUGCAGUCAUGUCCCCAAAUGGAAUUUUCUUUCUAGGAAUUCUUCGAACAAUGCAACUUGCUCCAGUUCCUCCAUCGUGGACUUCGUUGUGUCCGUCUCUUAUGGAACUUGGAAAUAUCUCGGCACCUAAUAAUGUUCUGGCAACUCUGCUCCCGAGCUAACUUCUUCUAGCUCGGGAAUAGGUGUAGGUUCCUGUAAUUGCUAUGCCGUGUUCUCCUUCCCUUUGCUACUGGAAACAGAAAUUGCAUUCAUCUCUUUUGUUGCCGGUUGAUCACCUCUUAUCUGCUUGAUUCCUUCGGGCGUUGGAAACUUCAGCAAUUGGUGAUAUGUUGAGGGUACAGCUUCCAUCUCGUGUAACCAUGGCCUUCCUAGGAUGAUAUUGUAUCCCAUGUCACCGUCUAAUACUUCGAAAAGAGUUGUUUUCAUUACUCCUUCAGCAUUCGUGAGCAGCAAAAUCUUUCUUCUGGUCGUUACGCUCGCAAGGUUGAAUCUAGCGAGGAGCUUUGUUGCCGGAAUAAUGCUUCAGGUAAGUUUAGCUUGCUCCAAUACUCUCCAUUGUAUGAUAUUAGCCAAACUUCCUAGAUCCACUAGAACACGCUUAAUCUUAAAAUCCAACACAUUUAAAGAAAUUACCAGUGCAUCGUUGUGUGCUAACAGCAAUCCGUCUGUGUCCACCUCCGUGAAAGUGAUAUAGUCUUCCCGGAGUCUUUUACUAUAAGUUAUUGAUACUUUUGUCUUCUUCGCUGCCGAAAAGGUGACCCCGUUAAUCUCAUUCCCUCCGUAGAUCAUAUUGAUCGUUUGGUGUGAGGGUUCUUCUCUAGCUUUUGAAGGUUCCACGUUAUCUCUGUUAAGACCAUAAUUGUUCUUAACUCGGUCACUCAAGAAUCCUUCGAGGUGACCAUUAUUCAAUAGUGUUUCCACCUCUUCCCGGAGGUGUCGGCGAUCCCCUAUUCGGUGGCCAUUCGUCCCAUGGUAUUCACACCAUAAGUUGGGAUCCAUCUGGCUAGAAUCGGAUCUCAUAGGUCUCGGGAAUCGCGCUUCUUUGAUGUUUCUCAUGGCUGACACCAACUCCAUUAUACUGACGUUGAAGUUAUAUUCCGAUAACUUGGGGUAAGAAGGAUACCGAGACCCCGAUGUCUCUUUAUCCUGAAGUGAUCUGUUGUUUUGACCACGAUCGGUCCCUCUAUCAACGGUGAACUUGUUUGUUGCCUAGAAGUUUUUUCCACGGCCUUCGGUCCGCUCGUAAGGCAAAAACCGACCCCUUGAAGUCCAUUUGUCUGCAUCGUAGUCAUCCUUUGAUUUUUAUCUACUCUUCUCCCGUCCCUUGGCCGAUGAUGUAGAACCGACCUGGUCAUCUUCGAUCCUUAUCUUUGACUCGUACCGGUUGUGGACAUCUGCCCAAGUUGUUGCUUGAAACUCAAGCAGGCUCUCCUUCAGUUUUCGGGAAGCGUCUGAGCUUCUCGGAUUCAAUCCUUUGGUGAAUGUUUCAGCUACCUAUUCAUCCGGGACAGCCGAGUGCAACAUUCUUUCUUUCUGGAAUCGGGUAACGAACUCUCGUAAUAAUUCGGGUUCUCCCUGUGUGUUCCUGAAUAUGUCGGCCUUUCGGGCUUGUACUUUUCUAGGCCCGGCAUAAGCAUUGAUGAAAGAAUCCGCGAGCAUCUCAAAGGAAUCUAUGGAAUGCUCGGGUAAUAAUGAAUACCACGUUAGAUCUCCCCUCAUGAGAGUUUCUCCAAAUUUCUUCAACAACACACAUUCAAUUUCGUGAGGAGCUAAAUCAUUUCCUUUUAUCGCCGUUAUGUAGGUAGUAAUAUGCUCCUGUGGGUUUGAAGUCCCGUCAUACUUUGGCAUUUCAGGUAUUUUGAACCGCUUUGGGACUAGUUCUGGUGUCGCACUCGGCUUGUACGGCAAUUAAGUAUACUUCUUCAAGUCUGGGCCUCAAUACUGGUGAUGUGCCCGGGAUCUGUUCCAUGUGGGUGUUUACUUCCCUCAUAAACUGUAAAAGUUCAUUCUUGAACGGGUCGUUCUCGUUGUUGAGAUUGGGUCUGUUCCCCCAGCCCCGUCAGAGCCAACUUCACCUCUGGGAGUGUUGUUGUCGACUCUCUGCGUUGUUUGGUUUGCGGGAACACCGGGAGGAAUUGGAUCUCGUCUGUUUGCAUUAUUUGAAGCCCCCGAUAGCGCCUGCUUCAGCUCCGUCAUAACCUUAUCCUGCCACGUGGGAUGAACUAGAAUGAUUGUCGGUUGCUCUUGCAGGACCCUCACCGCAUCCACGACAUGUUCCUCAUCAGCAUCAUCGGGAGUUGUCUCCUGAACCUAUCGAGGGUUCUGCCUGUCAUGCACCGGGUGGCAUCAUUUCCCUCAUUGCGGGUGUCACUAAUUGAAUCCUCGAAAUGAGGUUGAUCCCCUCAAAUUUCAGGGUUGAACAUGUUGUUAAUAGAGUUAUCUGCCAUUUUGUGAUUUUUUCUAAGACAAAACAAUCAAAUCACGCUAGUAAAAAAGACAAGGAUCAAUUUAAUUGCACGGUUCUCUAGGUCCCACGGUGGGUGCCAAACUGUUUACCCGUAAAACAGUACAGUUGAAUUUAUACGUGGUUUCUAGAUGACAAUAUCUUUCCUUCUCAAUAGAUGAAACAACAGAGAUGACGAUAUCUUUCCUUCUCAAUAUUGUGGUGCAAGUGACGUUUCAAACUCUCAAGGACUUGAAAAAAAAACAUCAAAUGAUAAUCAUAAAGUCGAUUCAACCUUCUAGCAAUUGUUUCGAGCCAUGAACUGUGAAAAUUACCUAAGUUAAAAUAUCACUCUGAUUAAUUACAUAAGUAGUUUAUUUGCAUCCAAUUUACUAUUGAAGAAGAAAAGUAAAUUUUAAAUUAAUUAGAUAAGUCGUAAUUGACAAUACAUCAACCUUUAUAGAUGAAUACAAAGAACAGAGAAUGUAAUUCUUGUUGGAAGUAAGAAUUUUGAACUAAAAAAAGUUCUCCAUAUCUCCUAUCCUGCUAGAAUUUUCCAGUCCGAUUUCCAGUAACCGCGCCUUACCCUGUUUCCAUGUGUAGGGACGGCACCACAUAAUGGUUGUGUGUACACGGCAUACACACACCACUAGAUACGGACAUUUGAUAGGGGAGAAAACAUACUUGUUGCAUAGUUGCAUAACGUUAAAAGUGUGUCUCAACGUACCAUUCCCGAAUGCACUAAUGAGAAAUUUUCUUUAAACAUGUAGUUAAGAGUAAUAAUGAUGCAGUUAAGAGUAAGGUUUGUAGUGAAAAUAUCACUGACGCAAAUUCUUAAGACAUUUUUACAGAGCAGAAAACCCAUGCUCGAUAUUGGCAUGUGUACCUAAAAGUAAAUGGCUUAAGCUCACGAGUGCAAACAUGGAAUGGAAAAAGGAAAGAUUUGGUGCAUGCCACACUCAAAGCUGAUUAUAUAUCAAAUUGCCCGUGAUUCACUGGAUCAAACUACAAAUGCAACAGAAACCAACUUCUGAUGGCAUUUCGAAGAUACAAGUUAAAUCAGGGGUAUGUUCAUUCGAAUCAUCACAACCAAUAGGCAACCCAAUUUCUUUCUCCAGAUAUUCAAUUGCAUGAAGCUGAAAAUAAGUGAACAAGGAAACAAUACCAAGAUGAACAGAAUAGAGCUCUAUUAAAUUCACAGCUGAAACUAAACACACCAGAAAUCAACUUAGAGUGCAUUUGAAACCAAAAGGGAGAAAUUACUUCUACCAAAGGUAAUGGAAGGUGGAUGAAUCCAGCUUAGAAGUACACCCACUGCCUCAAACUUCAAUACGAUAUAUUACUACUCAAACUAAAUUAAGUUUUACUAAUAUGAAUCCUUCGCGUUCAUUCUGCUACAUCUGGACUCCUUUCAUUAACUACUCAAUAAUCUGUCCUUGGAUUUCUAAAAUUCGGGAUUCUCUAAGUAUCCCAUGUAUCCUCCAUCGUCCAAUCUAUAACCAAGUUUAAAACACUCCUGAUAAAUACCAGGGCCUAAUGUAAGUGUGCCAAUAACAAUUAACCUUAAUCCAAGUUAGUUCCUUUUGACAACAAGGAUACUUUGAUUACUGUUCCAUACUUACAAAGCAUAGCCUGUUUGGCCAAACUUCUAAAAUUAGUUUAUUUUGAGAAGUGUUUUUUUCAAAAGUACUUUUCAAAAAAUUAUUUUUGAUGAGAAGCAGUUUGUGUUUGGCUAAUUAAUUUGAAAAUCACUUUUGAACAGUAAUUAAUUUUUGACCAAGCUUUUGAAAACUACUUUUAAGUGUAUUUUUCUCAAAAGUAUUUAUCAGAAAAGUAUUUUUGGAGAGUGCUAUUUUUUUCUGUUUCUCAAAAACUGCUGGUUCUCAAAAAAGGCACUUUUUUCUAUCUAAAAGUUUUGGCCAGACAAUUUAUUUUUGGCCAAAAGUACUUUUGACCAAAAAAAAUUAAAACACUUUUGCCCAAAAAAAAAAAAACUUGGCCAAACAAACUAUUAAUGUGUAUGGAUUGAAAGAAAUUGUUCCAUGUAACUUUAAGACUACAUGUAUUAAUAAUAUACAUGUAUUUAUGCAUCAAAACUUCUAGAGAUGACUGUAUAUAGUAUACAUUAACAUGUGUAUCCACAGUCCACUAUACAGAUUCCUUUCUACAGUCGCAUGCUAAUCAAUAGAAAAUCCAUACACUCCCAGAUUAUACGCAGAGACAAAUUUUACAGAGCUGAAUAUCCAAAUGCAUUACUAAAUGAAUCUUAAUCAUUCCACUUAAGUAAAAAACAUUAUCCCAUUCCAAUGGUUUCAGUACUGAAACCUGCUGAAAUAACAACUGGCCAGAAAAUUAAAACUACAAUAUACCGAAGAACAUAUCCCAAAGUAUAAAAUACGCUCAUCCAAAGCACAAGAGAAGGCUCCUUAACCUCAAUUACUGUAAACAUUUAAAACGAAAUUAAGAGUUUUCUAGACUUACAAACCAUCUCACUCGGAACGAUUAGCAUACCUCUCCACCUUAUCAUCAAGAUUAAUUCCAACCAUNNNNN
rnacentral:lncRNA from 1 species